ensembl:lncRNA
CUGCACUACUUUAGUUUGGCCUCAGUGGGUGUUACAGCUGCAAAGAUGUUGUCCAGCCUCAUCCUUCACCAGCCUGAGUACUGCUUGUUCCAGAAGUGCAUUGCUGAAAGAGUGGAGUCAUACAAAGUCAGGCAUGGGUGUCUCAGGAAAGCAACGCCAGGACACAGUUUUGGAAACACAGUCUGAUAGUCAUCCAGUAACACUUAUUAGUAUUCUGUGCAUAGAAACAGCUAGACAAGAUUCACCUGGUCUUAAAAAUGAUCUAGAAGUUGUGAUCUGUGAUAUUCAGGAAGGUAAACUGGGGAAGGAAACUCUUCUGGCCAUUAAUGGAUGUUAAUGGAUGCUGGCCCCCGAUGCGGCU